AUUGAACGCUGGCGGCAGGCCUAACACAUGCCAGUCGAACGGUAACAGGAAGCAGCUUGCUGCUUUGCUGACGAGUGGCGGACGGGUGAGUAAUGUCUGGGAAACUGCCCGAUGGAGGGGGAUAACUACUGGAAACGGUAGCUAAUACCGCAUAACGUCGCAAGACCAAAGAGGGGGACCUUAGGGCCUCUUGCCAUCGGAUGUGCCCAGAUGGGAUUAGCUAGUAGGUGGGGUAACGGCUCACCUAGGCGACGAUCCCUAGCUGGUCUGAGAGGAUGACCAGCCACACUGGAACUGAGACACGGUCCAGACUCCUACGGGAGGCAGCAGUGGGGAAUAUUGCACAAUGGGCGCAAGCCUGAUGCAGCCAUGCCGCGUGUAUGAAGAAGGCCUUCGGGUUGUAAAGUACUUUCAGCGGGGAGGAAGGGAGUAAAGUUAAUGCCUUUGCUCAUUGACGUUACCCGCAGAAGAAGCACCGGCUAACUCCGUG
rnacentral:rRNA from 1 species